rnacentral:rRNA from 1 species
UACGGAGGAUCCAAGCGUUAUCCGGAUUUAUUGGGUUUAAAGGGUGCGUAGGCGGCCUAUUAAGUCAGGGGUGAAAGACGGUAGCUUAACUAUCGCAGUGCCCUUGAUACUGAUGGGCUUGAAUGUACUUGAGGUAGGCGGAAUGUAACAAGUAGCGGUGAAAUGCAUAGAUAUGUCACAGAACACCAAUUGCGAAGGCAGCUUACUAAAGUAUGAUUGACGCUAAGGCACGAAAGCGUGGGGAUCAAACAGG